UGGUGGAGUGAUUUGUCUGGUUAAUUCCGUUAACGAACGAGACCACAGCCUACUAAAUAGUACUGCCUAUGGCAACAUAGGUCGAGACUUCUUAGAGGGACAAUUCAGGUUUACUGGAUGGAGGUUGGUGGCAAUAACA
rnacentral:rRNA from 1 species